rnacentral:rRNA from 1 species
AGAGUUUGAUCAUGGCUCAGGACGAACGCUGGCGGCGUGCGUAAUACAUGCAAGUAGAACGCUGAAGAGAGGAGCUUGCUCUUCUUGGAUGAGUUGCGAACGGGUGAGUAACGCGUAGGUAACCUGCCUUGUAGCGGGGGAUAACUAUUGGAAACGAUAGCUAAUACCGCAUAACAAUGGAUGACACAUGUCAUUUAUUUGAAAGGGGCAAUUGCUCCACUACAAGAUGGACCUGCGUUGUAUUAGCUAGUAGGUGAGGUAAUGGCUCACCUAGGCGACGAUACAUAGCCGACCUGAGAGGGUGAUCGGCCACACUGGGACUGAGACACGGCCCAGACUCCUACGGGAGGCAGCAGUAGGGAAUCUUCGGCAAUGGGGGCAACCCUGACCGAGCAACGCCGCGUGAGUGAAGAAGGUUUUCGGAUCGUAAAGCUCUGUUGUAAGUCAAGAACGGGUGUGAGAGUGGAAAGUUCACACUGUGACGGUAGCUUACCAGAAAGGGACGGCUAACUACGUGCCAGCAGCCGCGGUAAUACGUAGGUCCCGAGCGUUGUCCGGAUUUAUUGGGCGUAAAGCGAGCGCAGGCGGUUUGAUAAGUCUGAAGUUAAAGGCUGUGGCUCAACCAUAGUUCGCUUUGGAAACUGUCGAACUUGAGUGCAGAAGGGGAGAGUGGAACUCCAUGUGUAGCGGUGAAAUGCGUAGAUAUAUGGAGGAACACCGGUGGCGAAAGCGGCUCUCUGGUCUGUAACUGACGCUGAGGCUCGAAAGCGUGGGGAGCGAACAGGAUUAGAUACCCUGGUAGUCCACGCCGUAAACGAUGAGUGCUAGGUGUUGGAUCCUUUCCGGGAUUCAGUGCCGCAGCU